AGCUUUGCGCAGUGGCAGUAUCGUAGCCAAUGAGGUCUAUCCGAGGCGCGAUUAUUGCUAAUUGUAUUUUCCCAUUCUGGAUUGUCUACCUUGAUGCCUUUUUCUUUCUAACUUGUCUGAAAAAUACUUACUUAGCUAGAUAA